UGCAUCUAUAUACCACUUCUUGAAGAAGACAUAUAAUUAAAAAAACCCAGGAAGAGAAUUCAGCUUGUAGGCAGUUGAUGGAGUAAAUAAAGUACUGGACUUGGAAUCAGGAAGACCUGAAUUCAAAUCUAGUCUGAGACACUCCCUAGCUGUGUGCUGCUCAGACACCCAAGAUAAUGCUGAAUCCCAUUGCUGCUUGAACCCAUUGAGAAGACAACCCUAUGGCCUGAGCCACCUUGUGCAAGGUUGUGACUUCAGCUCCUAGUGUAUCCAAGCCUGCUACUUUCUCUUGCCCAUAGCCACAGGACUUUGAGGUGUCAGCAGAGACCAGAUUGGAAGUUCAAGCUAUGGCAAUCUGGGAGCCAAGAUCCCAGAUGGAUGGUACAGCCACUCAAUCCAGCAGGGAUGUCCUGAGAAGCCAUGGGACUUGGGCCUCAAGUUUGAGGGACUUUUGGACUUGGGAUGGAACUCUAAAGGAAUAGAGCUUUUCCUUUUUCCCAGUGACUGAGAUGGCACAAGGUGUGGGGGGGAGGGAGAAGAUUAUGCUUUAUACCCUUUGAACCAACUUCUACUGGGUCUGUAUCCCAAAGAGAUCAUAAAAAAGGGAAAAGGACUCACUUGUGCAAAAAUGUUUGAG
rnacentral:lncRNA from 1 species